GGACCGUGUACAAGUCCCUUGGAACAGGGCGUCGUAGAGGGUGAGAAUCCCGUCUUUGACACGGACCACCGGUGCUAUGUGAUGCGCUCUCGAAGAGUCGAGUUGUUUGGGAAUGCAGCUCAAAAUGGGUGGUAAAUUCCAUCUAAAGCUAAAUAUUGGCGAGAGACCGAUAGCGAACAAGUACCGUGAGGGAAAGAUGAAAAGCACUUUGGAAAGAGAGUAAAACAGUACGUGAAAUUGUUGAAAGGGAAACGCUUGAAGUCAGUCGCGUCUGCCGGAACUCAGCCUUGCUUCUGCUUGGUGCACUUUCCGGCCCGACGGGCCAGCAUCGGUUUUGGGCGGCGGACACUGGCGUGGGGAAGGUGGCAGCUCCGGCUGUGUUAUAGCCCCUCGUCGCAAACGUCGUCCGGGACCGAGGAAUCCGGCGCAAGCCUGGGAUGCUGGCGUAAUGGCUUUAAACGACCCGUCUUGAAACACGGACCAAGGAGUGCUACGUGCUCGCGAGUGUUUGGGUGGAAAACCCGGACGCGCAAUGAAAGUGAAAGUCGAUACCCCUCGCGGGGGCACCGACGCCCGAGCCCGAUGUUUUCGGAGGGCCUUGCGGUAGAGCGAGUGCGUUGCGACCCGAAAGAUGGUGAACUAUUCCUGAGGAGGGCGAAGCCAGAGGAAACUCUGGUGGAGGCUCGUAGCGGUUCUGACGUGCAAAUCGAUCGCAGGACUUGGG
rnacentral:rRNA from 1 species